rnacentral:rRNA from 1 species
ACCAGCCGCCAUAUCACCCUGUAGCCCAAGACUGGUUGCCCACUGAAGCUAAGCAGGGCUGAGCCUGGUCAGUAUCUGGAUGGGAGACCUCCUGGGAAAACUAGGUUGCUGCUGGAA